rnacentral:rRNA from 1 species
GACGAACGCUGGCGGCGUGCUUAACACAUGCAAGUCGAACGGAAAGGCCCUGCUUUUGUGGGGUGCUCGAGUGGCGAACGGGUGAGUAACACGUGAGUAACCUGCCCUUGACUUUGGGAUAACUUCAGGAAACUGGGGCUAAUACCGGAUAGGAGCUCCUGCUGCAUGGUGGGGUUGGAAAGUUUCGGCGGUUGGGGAUGGACUCGCGGCUUAUCAGCUUGUUGGUGGGGUAGUGGCUUACCAAGGCUUUGACGGGUAGCCGGCCUGAGAGGGUGACCGGCCACAUUGGGACUGAGAUACGGCCCAGACUCCUACGGGAGGCAGCAGUGGGGAAUAUUGCACAAUGGGCGGAAGCCUGAUGCAGCAACGCCGCGUGCGGGAUGACGGCCUUCGGGUCGUAAACCGCUUUCGCCUGUGACGAAGCGUGAGUGACGGUAAUGGGUAAAGAAGCACCGGCUAACUACGUG